GGUGUGAGUAAAUAUUAAAGAGAGGUAAAAUGGGAUUGUUUUAUAAGUAGAUAGCCAGGAGGUUUGCCUAGAAGCAGCCACCCUUGAAAGAGUGCGUAAUAGCUCAUUGAUCAGCGCUCUUGCGUUAAAGAUGAACGGGGUUAAACUAUUUACCGAA
rfam:Gossypium arboreum cultivar AKA8401 contig_5629_7, whole genome shotgun sequence.